GAGUUUGAUCCUGGCUCAGAACGAACGCUGGCGGCAGGCCUAACACAUGCAAGUCGAACGCCCACUUCGGUGGGAGUGGCGCACGGGUGAGUAACACGUGGGAACCUACCCUUCGGUACGGAACAACCCAGGGAAACUUGGGCUAAUACCGUAUACGACCUUUUGGUGAAAGAUUUAUCGCCGAGGGAAGGGCCCGCGUCCGAUUAGGUAGUUGGUGGGGUAACGGCCUACCAAGCCGACGAUCGGUACCUGGUCUGAGAGGAUGAUCAGGCACACUGGGACUGAGACACGGCCCAGACUCCUACGGGAGGCAGCAGUGGGGAAUAUUGGACAAUGGGCGGAAGCCUGAUCCAGCCAUGCCGCGUGAGUGAUGAAGGCCUUCGGUUGU
rnacentral:rRNA from 1 species